rnacentral:rRNA from 1 species
GACGCGAAGAACCUUACCUGGUCUUGACAUCCACAGAACUUUCCAGAGAUGGAUUGGUGCCUUCGGGAACUGUGAGACAGGUGCUGCAUGGCUGUCGUCAGCUCGUGUUGUGAAAUGUUGGGUUAAGUCCCGCAACGAGCGCAACCCUUAUCCUUUGUUGCCAGCGGUCCGGCCGGGAACUCAAAGGAGACUGCCAGUGAUAAACUGGAGGAAGGUGGGGAUGACGUCAAGUCAUCAUGGCCCUUACGACCAGGGCUACACACGUGCUACAAUGGCAUAUACAAAGAGAAGCGACCUCGCGAGGGCAAGCGGACCUCAUAAAGUAUGUCGUAGUCCGGAUUGGAGUCUGCAACUCGACUCCAUGAAGUCGGAAUCGCUAGUAAUCGUAGAUCAGAAUGCUACGGUGAAUACGUUCCCGGGUCUUGUACACACCG